AUUGAACGCUGGCGGCCGGCCUAACACAUGCAAGUCGAGCGAGCGGCGGACGGGUGAGUACUGUGUGGGGACUGCCCGAUAGAGGGGGAUAACUCAUGGAAAAGGUGGCUCAUCACGCAUACUUUCGGAUGACCCAUAUGGGAUUAGCGAGUAGGUAAGGUAAUGGCGUACCUAGGCGCCGAUCCCUCGCUGGUCUGCGAGGAUGAUCAGCAACACUGGGACGUAGACACGGCCCAGACUCCUACGGAGGCAGCAGUGGGGAAUAUUGCACAAGGGGCGCAAGCCUGAUGCAGCAAUGCCGCGUGUAUGAAGAAGGCCCUAGGGGUGUAAAGUACUUUCAGUUGGGAGGCGUUACCGACAGAAGAAGCACCGGCUAACUCCGUGCCAGCAGCCGCGGUAAUUC
rnacentral:rRNA from 1 species